AGUGAACGCUGGCGGUAGGCCUAACACAUGCAAGUCGAACGGCAGCACAGUAAGAGCUUGCUCUUACGGGUGGCGAGUGGCGGACGGGUGAGGAAUACAUCGGAAUCUACUUUUUCGUGGGGGAUAACGUAGGGAAACUUACGCUAAUACCACAUACGACCUACGGGUGAAAGCAGGGGAGCUUCGCACCUUGCGCGAUUGUAUGAGCCGAUGUCGGAUUAGCUAGUUGGCGGGGUAAGGGCCCACCAAGGCGACGAGCCGUAGCGGGUCUGAGGGGAGGGCGGGCAAACUGGAACUGGAGACACGGCCAAGACCCCUAGGGGAGGCAGCGGUGGGGAAUUUUGGACAAGGGGGGCAAGCCUGAGCCAGCCAGACCGGGUGGUGGAAGAAGGCCUUCGGGUUGUAAAGCCCUUUUGUUGGGAAAGAAAAGCAGCAGGUUAAUACCCCGCUGUUCUGACGGUACCAAAAGAAUAAGCACCGGCUAAUUCCGU
rnacentral:rRNA from 1 species